rnacentral:rRNA from 1 species
AUACGGAGGGUGCAAGCGUUACUCGGAAUCACUGGGCGUAAAGGACACGUAGGCGGAUUGGAAAGUCAGAUGUGGAAUCCUACAGCUUAACUGUAGAACUGCAUUUGAAACUUCUAAUCUAGAGUAUGGGAGGGGGAGAUGGAAUUAGUGGUGUAGGGGUAAAAUCCGUAGAUAUCACUAGGAAUACCGAAAGCGAAGGCGAUCUCCUGGAACAUAACUGACGCUAAGGCGUGAAGGCGUGGGGAGCAAACGGGAUUAGAAACCCCAGUAGUCC